AUACGAAAGGUGCAAGCGUUGUUCGGAUUUACUGGGCGUAAAGAGAGUGUAGGUUGUUUAUUAAGUCGGAUGUGAAAUCCCGGGGCUCAACCUCGGAACUGCAUUCGAUACUGGUAGACUAGAGUUCGGGAGGGGUAAGCGGAAUUCCGUGUGUAGCAGUGAAAUGCGUAGAUAUACGGAGGAACACCUGAGGCGAAGGCGGCUUACUGGACCGAUUCUGACACUGAGACUCGAAAGCGUGGGUAGCAAACAGGAUUAGAAACCCUAGUAGUCC
rnacentral:rRNA from 1 species